rnacentral:lncRNA from 1 species
GUAUUUGUUUGCAAUUAUUGUAAAACGUCACUUCCUUCUCAUUUGUUGAAAACCUAAAGGAAGUUCAAACUUUAACAACAAAACAUUAAACAGAAUAAAAUUUAUUGCCAUGGCCCAACAUUUUUGAACUGUAUACGUUUGGUUUCUGACCAGUUAAACGAUUCCGAAUAAGCUGAAACUAUAUCUCACCGUGAACAUACCGUGCUACCAUGUUCUAUAAAACAAAAAGUAAAUCACGAAAAAAAUUUGAACUCCGAGAAAAAUUCAAAAAGGAACGUCCGUAUUCAAAUGGCAAAAUCUAAAGCUCAAACACUUCAAACGUAUGGAUAACAACUGUCACACUCCCGACUUCGCACGGGUAUUUUCCAUUUUAAACAGUGUUCCAUGUUCGUCUUUUUUAAAUGCACUAAAUCCAACAUUCAAAAUAAGAUUGUACUGAUUAAAAUCUUCAUAAAUGAUAAAGAUAAAAGAAUCUUGUUUAUUAUUGACCAAAAUUUGUUGCAUUUGCUUGUUUUAUUCUGUUUUGGAUCACCUACCCGCCAUCUCAUUUGUUUUAUUCUGUUUUGGAUCACCUACCCGCCAUCUGAUUUUUUCAUACAUAGUUCUAACGCAUAUACAAUUAUCUUCAGAAGUUAAAUUUAAGGACCCCCACCUCGUUAUAAACGUUUACUAACAUUCAAAACAUUUGUAGCAGGGUGUGGGAACAGCCGGUUAAUUGUAUCAUGCCUAGUUUAAGUGAGCUUAUAUGGCAACAUUUUACUUUAUAUAGACACUGUUUUUAAACAUCAGUUUUGAUUGAUCCAAACACCUGUGUCGUCACGUUUUACGACCUUUUCAUAUUUGGUUUCGUAUCUUUUCUCUGGCAUAUUUUGUUCCAAUCUGUCAUCAAAUGUCAAGUCAUUCAAACCAUAGAGCAUAAAAUGUUAUACCCGUUUUAAUAUUCCUUGUCUGUUUAUUUAAGUUUUUAGUAUGUAAACAUUUUAUUUUCUAAAGGCUAUUCCAUUGGACAGAUGAGCUUACCGACUUGUAUAUAAUACGUGUAUGUGAUAUUUUGUUUUUCAUAACAUCAACACUAUCCAACUGCAUCCCGUUCUUGAAGGAAACUAUUCCAAUUACUAGUAAUGGCAGUAUUUUAUUUUUACUAGUAAUUGGCAGUAUUUUAUAAUUACUAGUAAUGGGUAAUAUAUUACGAUUUCUAGUAAUUGGCAGCUUAUUAUAAUAACUAGUAACUGGCAGUAUAGUAUCAUAACUAGCAUUUAUUUGAAAUACUAAGGCUUUUCUACCUCAGGCAUAGAUUACUUUAGCUGUAUUUGGCAAAACUUUUAUGAAUUUUGGUCCUCAAUACUCUUCAACUUCGUACUUUAUUUUGCCUUUUUAACUUUUUUGGAUUCGAGCGUCACUGAUGAGUCUUUUGUAGACGAAACGCGCGUCUGGCGUAUAUACUUAAUUUAGUCCUGGUAUCUAUGAUGAGUUUAUUUAGUAAUUUAGGAAGAAAAACAUACCUUUUUAGUUUUUACAUAAUAUAAACAUAUUUUUACAGAGUGGAUAUUUAUUACCUUUCUUGUUACCAUUUUAAAAUUAUUUAGAUCAUUAGUUCUGUUUACUUAUUAUCACAACAAU